GCAAGUCUUUAUCUCAAGGUAUCUCUUAGGAGGACUUAAGACAGGAUGUGGUUCACUUACCUGAGCACUAGGAUGGAGCCUCGGAGUUUUUCUCCUUUCCUGCUAUUGAUUUUAGUAGAAAACAGACCUUCCCUGCUUACAGGAUACCAAUCCACGAACGAACCUUUCCUCUUAUCCCAUGACUGCUGUCGGAGAAUAACUCAGUUCUCGCUGUUUGUUUGGGUGCAGCAGAGUCAGAUACUUUAUUCUGUUUAGCAGCUACAACAGGGAGAGAGUGCACUAGGACAUAGGGUCUCCCCUUCCUAGACAGGUCUCUCAGCAGAACAGGAGUAGCGAGACACCUCAGCUACCUGGGCAGCAGCAACGGACACUACAUCUACAGCUUGAAGAGACUGCAGCUGUGGAAGUAACACUCCAGAGAUUAGACAGGUCAGAAGGACCAAAUUAGAUGGUACAGAGGGAAUUUGAACAGAAGUACAGCUAAAAGAAGAUGGAGAGCUGGCUACGAAGGAGAUCAUAUUUCUUGAGGGAUUCAGUGUACGCAUAUAAGAAUGGAUAUCAUUAUGAAAAGAG